rnacentral:misc_RNA from 1 species
GAUGAAGAACGUAGCGAAAUGCGAUAAGUAAUGUGAAUUGCAGAAUUCAGUGAAUCAUCGAAUCUUUGAACGCACCUUGCGCUCCUUGGUAUUCCGAGGAGCAUGCCUGUUUGAGUGUCAUUAAUAUAUCAACCUCUUCAGCUUAUGCUUGUUGAGUGUUGGAUGGUGGGGGUUUGCUGGUGUCUUAUGAAGUCAGCUCCUCUGAAAUGCAUUAGCGGAACAAUUUGUUGACCGUUCAUUGGUGUGAUAAAAAUAUCUACGCUAUUGACGUCAGUCAGUUCAGCUUCUAACAGUCCAUUGACUUGGACAAAUUUUUCAUUAAUGUGACCUCAAAUCAGGUAGGACUACCCGCUGAACUUAAGCAUAUCAAUAAGCUGAGGA